rnacentral:tRNA from 2 species
UGCGAGGGUAGCCAAGCCAGGUCAACGGCGCUAGCUUGAGGGGCUAGUCUAGUAGUAGUUCUUGGGUUCGAAUCCCAUCCCUCGCAU